UUGGAGGGCAAGUCUGGUGCCAGCAGCCGCGGUAAUUCCAGCUCCAAUAGCGUAUAUUAAAGUUGUUGAAGUCAAAAAGCUCGUAGUUGAAUUUUAGGCCUGGCCAGGCGGUCCGUCUUUGGCGAGUACUGUCUUGUUGUCGGGUCUUCCUUCUGGUGAACCAGUAUGUCCUUUAUUGGGUGUGUUGGGGAGCCAGGACCAUUACCUUGAAAAAAUUAGAGUGUUUAAAGCGGGCUAUUGCUUGAAUAGAUUAGCAUGGAAUAAUAGAAUAGGACGUUGUGGUUCUAUUUUGUUGGUUUCUAGGACCACCGUAAUGAUUAAUAGGGAUAGUUGGGGGCAUUAGUAUUCAAUUGUCAGAGGUGAAAUUCUUGGAUUCAUUGAAGACUAACUAUUGCGAAAGCAUUUGCCAAGGAUGUUUUCAUUAAUCAAGAACGAAAGUUAGGGGAUCGAAGACGAUCUGAUACCGUCGUAGUCUUAACCAUAAACUAUGCCGACUAGGAAUCGGGCGUCGUUAUUUUAAUGACUCGCUCGGCGCCUUACGGGAAAC
rnacentral:rRNA from 1 species